rnacentral:rRNA from 1 species
CCUACGGGAGGCUGCAGUGAGGAAUAUUGGUCAAUGGACGCGAGUCUGAACCAGCCAUGCCGCGUGCAGGAAGACGGCUCUAUGAGUUGUAAACUGCUUUUGUACGAGGGUAAACUCAGGUACGCGUAUCUGUCUGUAUGUAUCGUACGAAUAAGGAUCGGCUAACUCCGUGCCAGCAGCCGCGGUACUACGGAGGAUGCGAGCGUUAUCCGGAUUUAUUGGGUUUAAAGGGUGCGUAGGCGGUCGGAUAAGUUAGAGGUGAAAUCCCGAGGCUCACAUUCGGAAUUGCCUUUGAUCCUGUGCGGCUAGAGAGUAGUUGCGGGAGGCGGAAUGUGUGGUGUAGCGGUGAAAUGCUUAGAGAUCAUACAGAACACCGAUUGCGAAGGCAGCUUACCAAGCUACUUCUGACGUUGAGGCACGAAAGCGUGGGGAGCAAACAGGAUUAGAUACCCCAGUAGUC